AUUGAACGCUGGCGGCAGGCCUAACACAUGCAAGUCGAACGAGUGGCGGACGGGUGAGUAAUGUCUGGGAAACUGCCCGAUGGAGGGGGAUAACUACUGGAAACGGUAGCUCAUAACGCAUACAAUCGGAAGUGCCCAGAUGGGAUUAGCUAGUAGGUGGGGUAAUGGCUCACCUAGGCGACGAUCCCUAGCUGGUCUGAGAGGAUGACCAGCCACAGAGGAACGGUGACACGGUCCAGACUCCUACGGGGGGCAGCAGUGGGUAACAAUGCACAAUGGGCGCAAGCCUGAUGCAGCCAUGCCGCGUGUAUGAAGAAGGCCUUCGGGUUGGAAAGUACUUUCAGCGAGGAGGCGUUACUCGCAGAAGAAGGACCGGCUAACCCCGUGCCAGCAGCCGCGGGAAUUC
rnacentral:rRNA from 1 species